CCUACGGGUGGCUGCAGUGGGGGAUAUUGCACAAUGGGGGAAACCCUGAUGCAGCAACGCCGCGUGUGGGAAGAAGGUUUUCGGAUUGUAAACCCCUGUCAUGUGGGAGCAAAUUAAAAAGAUAGUACCACAAGAGGAAGAGACGGCUAACUCUGUGCCAGCAGCCGCGGUAAUACAGAGGUCUCAAGCGUUGUUCGGAAUCACUGGGCGUAAAGCGUGCGUAGGCUGUUUCGUAAGUCGUGUGUGAAAGGCGCGGGCUCAACCCGCGGACGGCACAUGAUACUGCGAGACCAGAGUAAUGGAGGGGGAACCGGAAUUCUCGGUGUAGCAGUGAAAUGCGUAGAUAUCGAGAGGAACACUCGUGGCGAAGGCGGGUUCCUGGACAUUAACUGACGCUGAGGCACGAAGGCCAGGGGAGCGAAAGGGAUUAGAUACCCGAGUAGUC
rnacentral:rRNA from 1 species